rnacentral:lncRNA from 1 species
GUGAAAAACUCAACAUCCACAUUUAGAUUUUACGUCUAAAAGUCUAGAUUCUGCUGUUUUUCAAGAAGAACAGUGAAGGCUGUGAACCCAUUACCUCUGUUUUAUUAGAUAAUAUUCUUGUACUAUGUAUAUUAAAUGUGUUCUAGAAAAGGACACCAAGAAAAAAACUGACAAAAAGGUCAAGGUGACUAAAGUGGACAAGGAACCCCCUCUAAAAAAGAAGAAAUCUGGAUCUGAGAAAAAGGUUAACCAGCAAAGAAAGAGGUUAAAGCUCCCAAGGACAAAAUUAAACCGGCCCUUUUGAAGAAAGGUUGGCUGCACUUAAAGUAACAGCAAUUCAUUAAAAGUCAUUUUUUAUGCAUGACAUUAGCUGAGCCUGCUGACUCAUUUUCAGAGCCUGAUGUUUCUAAGGAGAAAGAAAAACCACCAACUGCAAAGAAAGAAAAGCCAACAACCGCUACUAAAAAAGAGCCUGCAGUUGCAAAAGAGAAAGUCAAACCAGUGCCUUCAAAGAAAGAUACUGAAGCUACUAAGGAGAGAGUGAAACCAGCCCCACUUAAGAAAGGUACAGUUUGAAUUUAUUGGACAUAUAUAUAUAUUUUUUGCAAUGUUAAUGAUGCUAACUGCUAACAUUCACUGAUGUACAGAGCCUGAGGUUUCCAAAGAAAAAUCCAAGCCAGAACCUUUAAAGAAAGGUAAAAUGAUUGCAAUUGUUUUUAUUGUUCAACAUGCAUAUCUUGAAACGAAUAUCACAUGAAGAAAAAUGAUUGAAUCUUGAACAGAGGCUGAAGCUGUUGAAGAGAAGGCAAAACCAGCACCAGCUAAAAAAGGUACAGAGCUCAUGCUCUGUAUUUGAGAGGGUAAUAGUAAAAUCAUAAGAUUGAUUUUCUGAAAUAUUAUCCUGCAAAUCAUUAUCCAUUAAGAUGCAGGUUUGUUUGAGAAGAAAACUUUCGGAAUAUUUUACAUUACUUAAGCAUGUACAUUAACGCUACAUAAAUAUUUGACCAAGCAGUUUGACUUGAUUUUUAGAGCCUGAAAUUAUUAAAGAGAAGGAGAAAACUCCAAAGAAAGGUCAUAAUUUUCAAAUGUGAAAAUUGCACAAAAUACAACUGUGUUCAUGUUAUUUAGAAAGAAAUGUUGAUGUUAAACUUUUUAUUUUUUUAGAAGCUGUAAAAGAAAAGCCCAAACCUGCUUCUGUAAAGAAAGGUAUUUAUACUACUUAACAAGUGUUUAUUUCUGUCCAGUAACAAGUUAAAUCUUUAUCUGUUGAUAUCAAGUCAAAGAAGUGAUCUUUAAUUAUUUGGGUUUUUUUUUUUUCUGAAUAUGAGCACAUAUUGAACAUGAAACAUCACACUGAAUAUACUGUUUCACAGAACCUGAAGUUCCAAAAGAGAAAGCAAAACUUGAACCUUCCAAAAAAGGUU